CUGAGCUUCAGGUGCAUGGGCUGGCUGUGACCCUUUUCCCACUCUGAAACUCUGUGUGUUCAGGACUUCUAACUGCGUAGAAGAUGAAGAUUGAUAUCCAUAACCAUAUUUUGCCCAAGGAAUGGCCUGAUCUAAGAGAGAGAUAUGGAUAUGAUGGAUUUGUCCAGCUCCGCCACCACUGUAAGGGAGAAGCCAAAAUGAUAAAGGAUGGGAAAGUGUUCCGUGUAGUUCAGGAGAACUGCUGGGAUGCUGAGGCUCGGAUACGGGACAUGGAUAAGCACGGUGUCACAGUGCAGGCCUUGUCUACUGUACCUGUAAUGUUCAGCUACUGGGCAAAACCUCAGGACACACUGGACCUUUGUGGGAUCCUUAAUGACGACCUGGCAGCCACUGUGAGGCGAUACCCGAAACGCUUUGUAGGCCUCGGCACCCUUCCCAUGCAGGCCCCUGAGCUGGCUGUACAGGAAAUGCGGCGCUGUGUGCAGGAGCUGGGUUUCCCAGGAGUGCAAAUCGGUUCACACAUCAACACUUGGGACCUCAAUGCUCCUGAGCUUUACCCUGUUUACGCUGCUGCUGAGGAGCUAAACUGUGCAUUAUUUGUGCAUCCAUGGGAUAUGCAGACAGAUGGGAGAAUGGCCAAGUACUGGCUGCCAUGGCUAGUUGGUAUGCCUUCAGAAACUACAAUGGCUAUUUGCUCCAUGAUCUUUGGGGGUAUUUUUGAGAGAUUCCCAAAGCUAAAGGUCUGCUUUGCUCAUGGAGGUGGCGCUUUUCCUUAUACAAUUGGACGAAUCGAGCAUGGAUUCAACGUCCGGCCAGACCUGUGUGCUACAGACAAUAAGAUCAAUCCACGUAAAUACUUAGGAUCGUUUUAUACUGACUCUCUGGUCCAUGACCCGCUUGCUCUUCAGUUACUCAUUGAUGUCAUCGGGAAGGAUAAGGUGAUGUUAGGAACAGAUUACCCAUUUCCUCUUGGAGAACUGGAGCCGGGAACAUUGAUAGAAUCGAUGCGUGAAUUUGACGGCACACUAAAGGAUAAACUCCUGGCAGGAAAUGCUCUCGAAUUUUUGGGUCUUGAGAGGAAACAGUUUGAGUGACGUGCUAAGAGUUCAGUUGUCUGCCUCAUGGGGGGAAAGGACUGGUGCCAGAAUAUCAAAGUGAAGAUCCCAGAAGCUGGGGUCAGAGCGCAGGGUCAGCCAUGAUACAGCAGCCCUGGAGCAGAGAGGGUUAAGGGCCUUGCUCAGGGGCCCAAUGGUGGUGGCUUGAACUCCUGACCUUCUGAUCAGUAACCCAGAGCCUUUACCACUGAGCCACCAUGGGCCUAAACAGUG